UUUUGCGAAUACAGACUAACACGGCUGCUACUCUGAAUUCUGCUUCGGUAUCUGCAUCUGCGAGUGAGAGAAGAAACGGAGCUCACCAUGGCCUCAGAGAGUGGAGCUGCUCUGUGGAGCCUUCUCCUCACCUUUGCUUUUCUCGUCUCCUGCUGCGAAGCCCAAGCGGUUCAGAGCCCCGAGUGGCUGGUUACAGGGGAAGGGAAGGUCUCCACCAUGUCCUGCUCUUUCACCAGCGCUUACCAAGCCUUCCAGUGGUAUCAGGAGCGCCCUGGGCAAGGGCCCACCCACCUGCUGACCGCGAGCUCUAAUGACAAUGUCACUGUGGGACGGUUCAAAGGCGAGAGCCUGGAAAGUGGGAAACGCAGCUCUCUGCACAUCACCGACUCCCAGCUGGGGGACUCAGGCAGCUACCUCUGUGCGGUGAGAGCACAGUGACACAGGCAGAGCUGGGCUCAGGGCAAAAACCCUUAGGCUCUGACAGGCAGUUUAUGGGAGGAGAUGCAGGGACGGAUCCUCAGAUGGUGUAAAACAGCACAACUCCAUUGCAGAGUAAGGGACGGAUCCUCAGUUGUUAUAAAUGGGCAGAGCUCCAGCGGAAUCAAAGGGGCCAUAUCAUAAGUACCCAGGGAUUGGAACUCAGGUCUGCAGAUCCUGGGACAGCUGUGUGAAGAUCAGCGUAAAUCUGGAGUCACUCCACAUAUGUUCUUUGCGGUGACUGUAACAAAUCCGAGACACAAGUUCAUUUUUUCCCCUUUUCUUCCUAUGGGAUACUUUCUAAAGGAAAAUUCAUUACUAAACAUUUCCAGCGAUAAAACAU